rnacentral:rRNA from 1 species
UACGAAGGGUGCAAGCGUUAAUCGGAAUUACUGGGCGUAAAGCGUGCGUAGGUGGUUUGUUAAGUCUGCUGUGAAAGCCCUGGGCUCAACCUGGGAAUGGCGGUGGAUACUGACAAGCUAGAGUGCGGUAGAGGAGGGUGGAAUUCCCGGUGUAGCGGUGAAAUGCGUAGAGAUCGGGAGGAACACCCGUGGCGAAGGCGGCCUGCUGGGCCGAUCCUGACGCUGAGGCGCGAAGGCGUGGGGAGCGAACGGG